GCUUGAAAAGCCGAGAUAACAAUAUCAACAUAAAACAUCUUUCAAAGAUCUGCAGCUAGAGAUAUUAAACUAUUAACCCUCAUCCUCCAGCUUUUAAAUACGCGGGGUCCAAAUUUAUAGUUUUCAUAGUUCCGCACUCAGAAUUCAAAAGUUCAAGUCAAUAGCACUAACAGAAUUGGACCAAAUUUUUUGUCCAAACUUUCGGUUUUCAACAAAUUUUAUAAUUUGUACACCAAAAACAUCCAAAUCUCCCAAAGAAACAACGAAACAAUAAGAUCAGCGGCUUAAUUCGGAAAAAAAAAAAAAGUUGAGAAAUCCGCAAAAGCAAAGUUAAAUCCAAAAGGGGGAU
rnacentral:misc_RNA from 1 species